rnacentral:tRNA from 1 species
AUCUUAGUUAUUCUUAGGUUGAUUCCCUGGGAGAGCAUAAAUAGUGCCUAAGAUA